GCCAACAUGCCUGCUCUGUGGGCAGGGCAGUCAUCAGCUGAUGCCAGCAUUUUAACAAUCAACCGUUGUAUUUGACCAGUGCACGAACAAACUCUAGUUUGUGACCUUGAAAGGGAUUUUUUUUUAUUUUUUCGUGAACUAGUGAACUAAAAUGGGGAGCUGGAAGAAUCAAGUGCGUGCUCGAUUGCUACUCAGAGACCAACGAGAGAAACAUCCAUACGAAGGAGUCUUUACCAGCUUGUCUGAUUUGGAAGAAAGGUUUGAAAUUCGUCAGCAAUUUUUGGAAGAUGACCAUUCAAACAGCUCAGAAGGUGGAGUCAAUGUGAGAUUACUUCAACUACAGCUCAGAGAGAGUGAACGUCUUGCAGAAAAGUUGUCUCAGACCGUCUCCGAUCUGACCACAGUCCUGUAUUUGAAAGACGCCGAGCUCCAGCACUGGCAGUCACGUGUCUCCCGCCACCGCCAAGAGGCCCUAACUCUGGCCAAAGGGGGUAACGCCAUGAAGGCGACCCUUUCGAAACAAGAGUUCACCAUUGAGUGUCAAGCCAAAGAGCUGGCCGCCCUGCAAGCGGAGAAGACGGGACUAAAAGAAGCGUUAUCGCAAGCUCGGCGUGAUAAAGAGGAGCUGCUGCAGCGAUGGAUGGAGGAGAAGAAGGAAGAAGCGGCCAGGUUGAAUAAAUACAACGAUGCGCAGGAGAGGUGGCAUCGUUUGGCCAGACACUUAAGGAAGCACCUUUGUAGCAGGGAGGGGAAAAAAGAUGGUCACUAUUUCAGUGGCAAAAGGAGAUCACAUAUCACACCGUCUGUUGGCAGCAUGUUUCCAUGGUCACCGGUGUUUUCAUGAGGUGUUAACUUGGGAGUGUGUGUGCAUGUGUUUGUGUUUUGAGUGAAACUUAACAAGCUUAAAUGUGUGCUAAAAUGGUAAAAAGUGGAAAGCGGUAUUAUUCGUCAAAGCCCAUUGGUGGCAAAUGGUUUCCUCAUCCAGAUGUGCCGCGGAAUGAGGGCAGGAAUCGUGAGCUGUCCACAAGCACGGGGAUCAUGCUGACUCAAGUCAACGCGUCUUUGCCACAGGCUUUGAGCUUUGAACGCUUUCCGAAAUGGAGAAUAGAGCAG